AACACCUCAAGUCGAGAGAUUAUUAUUAAUCACGAGACUUGGAUUUGAGUGAUCCUAAUAACGAGUCUCUUUCUUUUUUUCACAAAAAGAGGGGGACAAGUAGGCAGGUUACUUGAAAUUCAGGUGCAGCUGAACUUUUCUUCUGAGCUAAAAGCAUUAUUUAUUUAGUCUUUAUUGACUAUUACUUUUUUUUGCUGCAGCUAAUAUAAAGGGAGAAUAGCUUCAUUAUGGCUGACUGAUGCAGGAAUUUAUCAGUCUGUAAAAGGACUGUUAG
rnacentral:misc_RNA from 1 species